UCUAUGAAAGCAUCCUGCGGUUUGCCUGAGAAGCACUUCUGCAGCUGAACCUUGGACAGACUCAUCUGCUUUGCGUUCUGCCUAAGUGCAGCGCGGGGCCCAUCGGGAAAAGUCGGCGCUAAAGCCCCAGAUGAAAGGCCGCAGCUGGAGAGAUUGCAGAACAGCACCCUGGUAGAAUUUCCCAACAGAGGACCCUGGAAAAGAAAAGGGGCUUAAGCAGCAUCUGCUUUGAUUUUUCCCUUCUAUGACGAACAGGUGUGUGUUGGGGACUCUGUGAAGAACGGUUCCGAGAUGGCUGUUGUGUGUGUGUGGAGGCAAGGUAGUAUUUUCUGAUACUUGGGAAAGACACAGGCUUCCAAGCUAUAAAUUAAGUGUGUCCUCUCA